UAAAAGAGCAUUGAGGGGAUGCCUUGAUUCUAGGUAAAUAUAGGACGUAUAAAUUACGAAAAGUUAUGGGGAGCUAUGCUGAGAUCCAUAAAUCUCCUAUAGGAAAACCAAUUAUAAGUAUUUAAAAUUAUGCAGUGAAUUGAAACAUCUAAGUAACUGUAAGAAUAGAAAUCAACAGAGAUUUUGCGAGUAGUGGCGAGCGAAAGUGAAUAAAGAUCAAUAAAAUUUUUAAUUAAGAAUUGAAAAGUUUUUGAAAACGGACCAAAGAAGGUGAAAGUCCUGUAAGUUUAUUAAUUAUUAAUUUUUACAGAUUAAAAUGAGACAUGUGUAAUCUUAUUUGAAUAUAGGGGAACCACCCUCUAAAUCUAAAUAUAGCCUAGAAAUCGAUAGUGAACAAGUACCGUGAGGGAAAGGUGAAAAGACCCUAUGGGGUGAGUGAAAAGUGCCUGAAACUCAAUGCUAAAAAUCAGUUGAAGCUUUUUAAAAGUAACAACGUACCUUUUGUAUAAUGGAUCAGCUACUUAAUUAUAUUGGCAAGUUUAAGUUAUGAAACGUAGACGUAGCGAAAGCGAGUUUGAAUAGAGCGAUUAAAGUCAUUAUAAUUAAACCCGAAACCAAGUGAGCUAAUUAUGAACAGGUUGAAAAUUAUUGUAAAAAAUAUUGGAGGACCGAACCCACGUAUGUAGAAAAAUGCGGGGAUGAUUUGUGAUUAGGAGUGAAAGGCUAAUCAAACUUGGAUAUUGCUGGUUUUCCACGAAAUCUAUUUAGGUAGAGCGUCGUAUGAUUUUAUUUUGAGGUAGAGCACUCGACGGAUGAGGGGGAUUAUACGUCUUACUGAGUUCAAGGAAACUCCGAAUACAAGAUAUUUAAAUACGACAGACAGGCUUUGGGUGCGAAGGUCCUAAGCCAAAAGGGAAACAGCCCAGAUUGUUAGUUAAGGUCUUUAAAUUUAUCCUAAGUGAAAAAGGAAGUGAAAAAAUUAUGACAGCUAAAAGGUAGGCUUAGAAGCAGCCAUCCUUUAAAGAAAGCGUAACAGCUCAUUAGCCUAGUUUUUUUGCGCCGAAAAUUUAACGAGACUAAAGGUAAAUACCGAAACUGCAAACAUUUUUUUUAAUUGUGGUAGUGGAACAUUCUGUAAUGUUAAUAUAUGUUAUAUUGUUAAAUAUAAUAAUACAUCAGAAGAGAAAAUGCUGAUAUGAG
rnacentral:rRNA from 1 species